rnacentral:ncRNA from 1 species
UUUACGGAGAGUUUGAUCCUGGCUCAGGACGAACGCUGGCGGCGUGCUUAACACAUGCAAGUCGAGCGGUAAGGCCUUUCGGGGUACACGAGCGGCGAACGGGUGAGUAACACGUGGUGAUCUGCCCUGCACUCUGGGAUAAGCCUGGGAAACUGGGUCUAAUACCGGAUAUGACCAUUCCAUGCAUGUGGGGUGGUGGAAAGAUUUAUCGGUGCAGGAUGGGCCCGCGGCCUAUCAGCUUGUUGGUGGGGUAAUGGCCUACCAAGGCGACGACGGGUAGCCGACCUGAGAGGGUGACCGGCCACACUGGGACUGAGACACGGCCCAGACUCCUA